rnacentral:rRNA from 1 species
UGAUGCAGCCCUGCGCGUGAGGUGAGAGGCCUUCGGGUUGUAAAGCUCUUUUGUUGGGAAGAAAGGUACCAGUUAAUACCUGGGUGUUCUGACGGUACCCUAAGAAAAAGCCCCGGCUAACUUCGUGCCAGCAGCCGCGGUAAUAAA